UGAUGACUGGGAUUUCUUUCUCUCUAGGUUAAGGAGGCAUGUGUUCCCCCAACCUGAUAUCUGUGUUAUUUCAGAUCGGGGCACCGGUAUACUAGCUGCAUUUGAUCGAGAGGGAAACUUGUGGCAGCGCACACACCAUAGAUAUUGCCUAAGACACGUUGCUUCAAACUACUACAGGCAAUAUCCAUUUAAGAGUGAACGACGACAAUUGACCAACAUGGGUAUUUAGUCUAUAACUGUAUUUAGUCUAUAACUGUAUUAUUAUCUCGUUGGGGACGGUGAUUGCAUGGCCGCUG
rnacentral:lncRNA from 1 species